GUUGGACCUAACUAGGCUGAACAAUAACCAAUAACAUUCUAUUAAACAUGCAAGUAUUAUGCAAAAAAAUUAAAUAUUACAACAAAACACUGUUGUGAAUAUGCCUUAUUAAACAAUUUCAUAGUAGCAAACUAAAAAGAAAAUAUUUUAAAUUAGACACCAAAUGACUCAUGAUUCAGUGGAGUCAUUUGUAAAGUUAUAACUAGCCCUGAAUGAUUCGCUUACUGGGGAGGUCUGAUUCAAAGUGCUAACAAGUGAGUUUGAAAUAGUUAUGUGAAUCGUGUGACUGUCUGUUCAUUUGGAGUCAUUAGAUGAGUUGUUUAAUUUAGAAUUUUUGUUUUUGAAUUGGUCAUUAAAGUUGCAGUCAGUUGCUAGGUAGUUGGUAACCACCUAGUAUACUUAGUACCCUAUGGUGGCAAAAAAAAAAAAACACAGUUUGAGGAGAAUGUAAGAUUCCGCCAUACAAUACAACACACUCUCAGGAAAAAAAAAAGGUACAGCUGUCACUGUGGCGGUUCAUUUGAAAAAGGUACAUCUUUGUACCUUAUUUACACCUAAAAGUACACAUUAAUAUUACAUUUUAGUACCAGUUUUUGGACCUGUUUUUCAGACAGUGUAUCCUCACAUGUAGCCAAACUUCUAAGCCAGGUAUUAGUCAGUUUUUAGUCAGUCUAGUCAAUAAAAACAAUCAAAUGCAUGCCAGUCAGUCAUCUAUGGAGCAUUAAAUGGGAAUGUGGAUUUCCCAUGCCAUAAUGUGGUGGAUUUGGUUCCUUUGUCUUUAUUUAGUGCGCCAACAAUAGGAGCUCAUCCUCCAUUAUGACAUCAUAAUGGCCUUCAAAAUGAUUCUGACAUUUGGAGGAAGAGCCCUCAAUAGAAAUGCGUCGCAUUUAACAGCCUUGUGGAAAUGUUUAGCUUUAAUUAUGAAAACAUGCCGCUGCCCAAAUGAGCGCUGCUGUUCUCCCUCAAUCACAGCUUUCACAUUCCCAUAUAAUGACGAAAGAUCAACGUUUUGGAGUGUGCGAACGCCAUCCCGGGUGAUGGAGGGCAGGGAUCUCAGACUGUGUUUGUGUGUGCGGGUCAGACGAUAAGCUGCUUAGAGACAGCCAGACAAUUUCCCCAGAUGUAUGCGCUGGGAAGAAAUUACAGGCGGCUCUGCGACAGGCGGCCCAGAGGCCAAAUCUGGCCACUCAUUGAAUUUUAUGAUUUUGAUUAAACACUGGACAUCAGAGCACUUUCUGUGCAAAACUCAUUGGCGAGUUUAGAAGCACUCAGAAGUCGAUUAGUGAUCCGCAGGCCAGAUUCGCACCACAAUGAGGACAUUUAAGCCUUUUCUGGACACUGUUCAGCUAAGCUUGUGAACCAGCACCAUUUAGGCUUGCAUAUUCAUUUUGAGUCUUAUCAAAUCAAAUUUAUUUUUGCAAAUAACUUGGCUACGGGCAAAUAUUCAGACUAUAAAGACACGGGUGGGGUCAUACAGCUGUGAGUCAGCGUUUUCUAUCCUCAACAUCAAAUCAAGUUUGUUCUGCCCUCGCCAAUGAUUAUCUGCUCAAGUAUAUGAGAAUCGCAGUGGCUAUAGAGUGAAUAAUGGCAAUACUUGAAACCCAAUUAAAAGUCAUUUUGCUUUAAUGAAUGGGUAAAUUAUAGAGAGACAUUUCAACUUUAAAUUUGUUUCCCAGCAAUAUGAUAAUUGUUUUAGAUUUGUUUUUAAUGUGGGUUGAUUAUGUUGAACAUAUUGGUUUUAACUGAUCUUCUGUUUUGCUAUUUUUAAAAAAAUUAAAUUGAAAAAUACAUACUCAUUUUCAUAAAGUUAAUGAAAUAUUUUUUUAUAAGAUGACGAUGGGAAGCCAGGUUUUUGAACUUUUUUUGGCUGGUUUAAUAUAAUUAACCAAACAGUAUUAGUAAUAGUGUCUUUUUUCCUUUUUCUUAUUUAUUUAUUCAUUUAUUUAUUAAUAUAAAGCAAUUAAACAUUAACGAAACAGACUUGCACAAAAGGAUAAAAUGGUGUACACACACACACACACACACACACACACACACACACACACACACACAGUUUUCAAUAUUGAUAAAUGUUUCUUGAACAGAAAAUUAGAAUGAUUUCUGAAGGAUCAUGUGACACUGAAGACUGGAGUAAUGAUGCUGAAAAUUCAGCGUUGCAGCGCAGGAAUAAAUUAUAUUUUAAAAUAUAUUUAAAUAGAAAAAGUUAUUUUUAAUGUUAAUAAUAUUUCACAGUAUUGCUAUUUUUACGGUAUUUUUAAUCAAAUAAAUGCAGCCUUGGUGAGCAUGAAACUUCUUUAAAAAACAUUAAGAAAUUUUGUAAAUUAAAAAUAUUUAUAAUUAUAACAAGACUUCUACAUGUGUUUUCUUGUUAAACUUAAAAUUGAUAAACAUCUCUAUCUGGGCUCAUUAUC
ensembl:lncRNA